UUUAUAUAACCUUUAUUAAACCAGGUAGGCAAGUUGAGAACAAGUUCUCAUUUACAAUUGCGACCUGGCCAAGAUAAAGCAAAGCAGUUCGACACAUACAACAACACAGAGUUAUAUACAGUGCCUUCGGAAAGUAUUCAGACCCCUUGACUUUUUCCAUAGUUACGUUACAGCCUUAUUCUAAAAUGGAUUACAUAAAAACAUUUCCUCAGCAAUCUACACAUAACGACAAAGUGAAAACAGGUGUUGAUAUUUUUGCAGAUGAAUUCAAAAGAAAUACCCUAUUUACAUAAAUAUUCAGACACUUUGCUAUGAGACUCAAAAUUGAGCGCUCAGGUGCAUCCUGUUUCCAUCAAUCAUCCUUGAUGUUUCUACAACUUGAUUGGAGUCCAUCUGUGGUAAAUUCAAUUGAUUGGACAUGAUUUGGAAAGGCACACACCUGUCUAUAUAAACAGGUCCCACAGAUGACAGUGAAUGUCAGAGCAAAAACCAAGCCAUGAGGCCGAAGGAAUUGUCAGUAGAGCUCCGAGACAGGAUUGCGUGGAUGCACAGAUCUGGGGAAGGGUACCAAAAAAUGUCUGCAGCAUUGAAUGACCCCAAGAACACAGUGACCUCAAUCAUUCUUAAAUGGAAGAAACCAAACUGAGCAAUCGGGGGAGAAGGGCCUCGGUCAGGGAGGUGACCAAGAAACUGAUGGUCACGGACAGCGCUCUAGAUUUCCUCUGUAGAGAUCGUUGUCCUUCUGAAAGGUUCUUUCCAUCUCUGCAGCACUCCACCAAUCAGGCCUUCAUGGUAGUGGCCGGACGGAAGCCACUCCUCAGUAAAAGGCACACAACAGUCCGCUUGGAAUUUGCCAAAAGGCACCUUAAACAACUUCUUAUGGCUCAAAUCCCAUUAACGGGAUCGAUUUGACAACAGCCAGUGAAAGUGCAGGGCGCGAAAUUCAAACAACAGAAAUCUCAUAAUUAACAUUCCUCAAACAUACAAGUUUAUACACCAUUUUAAAGAUAAACUUGUUGUUAAUCCAACCACAGUGUCCGAUUUCAAAAAGGCUUUACGACGAAAGCAUACCAUGUGAUUAUGAUAGGUCAGCGCCUAGUCACAAAAAAACUGCCAUUUUCCAGCCAAAGAGAGGAGUCACAAAAAGCAAAAAUAGAGAUAAAAUUAAUCCCUAACCUUUGAUGAUGAUCAUCAGAUGGCACUCAUAGGACUUCAUGUAUGUUUUGUUCGAUAAAGUUCAUAUUUAUAUACAAAAAUCUCAGUUUACAUUGGCACGUUAUGUUCAGUAAUGUUUUGCCUCCAAAACAUCCGGUGAUUUUGCAGAGAGCCACAUCAAUUUACAGAAAUACUCAUCAUAAACGUUGAUGAAAAUACAAGUGUUAUGCAUAGUUUUAAAGAAACUUCUCCUUAAUGCAACCACUGUGUCAGAUUUCAAAAAAGCUUUUCGCCGAAAGCACAUCAUGCGAUAAUCUGAGUACAGCGCUCAGCCACCAAAACAAGCCAUACAGAUACCCGCCAUGUUGUGGAGUCAACAAAAGUCAGAAAUAGCAUUAUAAAUAUUCACUUACCUUUGAUGAUCUUCAUCCGAAUGCACUCCCAGGAAUCCCAGUUCCACAAUAAAUGUUUGUUUUGUUUUAUAAAGUCCAACAUUUAUGUCCAAAUACCUCCUUUUUGUUUGCGUGUUUAGUCCAGUAAUUCAAAUGCACAAGGCGCGGGCACUAAGUACAGACAAAGUCACAAAAGUUCCAUUACAGUUCGUAGAAACAUGUCAAACGAUGUAUAUAAUCAAUCCUUAGGAUGUUUUUAUCAUAAAUCUUCAAUAAUAUUCCAACCGGACAACUCCUAUGUCAUUUAGAAAUGAAAGGGAACGGAGCUCAUGCUCACGGCCGUGCGUGACUAAACUAAAGGCUUUCAACCAGACCCCUGGUUGAAACAGCUCUUAUUCGCCACCCUUUCACAAUAUAAGCCUGAAACAACGUUCUAAAGACUGUUGACAUCUAGUGGAAGCCUUAGAAAGUGCAAUCUGACCCCAUUUACACUGGAUAUUGGAUAGGCAAUCGCUUGAAAAACUAUAAACCUCAGAUUUCCCACUUCCUGGUUGAAUUUUUCUCAGGUUUUUGCCUGCCAUAUGAGUUCUGUUAUACUAUAAAUAUAAAUCCAUUCAGGAAGUAUUUUUUGUUUUUGUUAUGUAGUUUUCUAUUCAAUGCCAUUACAGUAUCCAUUGACUUAGGACUCAAAUUGCAGUUCCUAUGCCUUCCAGUAGAUGUCAACAGUCUUUAAAAAUUGUUUCAGGCUUGUAUUCUGAAAAAUGAGGGAGUAAGAGCAGUCUGAAUGAGUGGACCCUGCUGUGUCAAAGAGCUUUUUCAUGCGUGCGACCGAGAGAGUGCCUUUCUUGUUUACCUUUUAUAUUGACGACGUUAUUGUCCGGUUGAAAUAUUAUCGAUUAUUUAGGCUAAAAACAACCUGAGGAUUGAAUAUAAACAUCAUUUGACAUGUUUCUAUGAACUUUACGGAUAGAAUUUGGAUUUGUCGUCUGCCUGUUGUGACUGCGUUUGAGGCUGUGGAUUACUGAAGAAAACGCGCAAACAAAACGGAGGUUUUCGGAUAUAAAGAGAAACUUGAUCGAACAAAAGGAACAUUUAUUGAAUAAAUUAAUGUCUUCUGAGUGCAACCAUAUGAAGAUCAUCAAAGGUAAGUGAUUAAUUGUCUCUUUCUGACUUGUGUAACUCUUCUACUUGGCUAGUUCCUGUUUGUAAUGAUUUGUCUGCUGGGCUAUGUUCUCAAAUAAUUGUAAGGUAUGCUUUCGCAGUAAAGCAUUUUUUAAAUCUGACACAGUGGUUGGAUUCACAAGUUAAUCUUUAAACCUAUGUAAAAUAGUUGUAUCUUUUCUGAAUUUUUAUAUAAUGAGUAUUUCUGUAUUUGAAUUUGGCGCUCUGCAAUCUCACUGGAUGUUGGCCAGGUGUCCCACAUACCCUAGAGAGGUUAAGACUCUCAGGCCAUGAGAAACAAGAUUCCCUGGUCUGAUGAAACCAAGAGUUGAACGGCGAAAAGUACAGAGAUCCUUGUUGAAAACCUGCUCAAGACCUCAGACUGGGGUGAAGGUUCACCUUCCAACAGGACAAUGACCCUAAGCACACAGCCAAGACAAUGCAGGAGUGGCUUCGGGACAAGUCUCUGAAUGUCCAAGAGGCCCAGCCAGAGCCCGAAUUUGAACCCGAUCUCUGGAGAAACCUCAAAAUAGCUGUGCAGAAACACUCCCGAUCCAACCUGACAGAGCUUGAGAGGAUCUGCAGAGAAGAAUGGGAGAAAUUCCCCAAAUACAGUUGUCAAGCUCGUAGCGUCAUACCCAAGAAGACUCGAGGCUGCCAAAGGUGCUACAACAAAGCACUGAGUAAAGGGUCUGAAUACUUAUGUAAAUGUGAUCCGUUUUUUUUCAAUACAUUUGCAAACAUUUCUAAACCUGUUCUUUGCUAGGUCAUUAUGGGGUUUGAACGAUUUAAUUAAGGCUGUACCGUAACAAAAUGUAGAAAAAGUCAAGGGGUCUGAAUACUUUCCAAAUACACUAACUGGCAUUCUAACACUGUGGUAUAAGAACAUCUUUAUGACAGUGUUAUAAUGUAUUGUUCAGGUAAGUACCUAACAAGGAAUGCUGCCAUAUAAGUGAACAGCCUUUGUAAAAGCACUGGACCGACGGUGUGUCAUCAUGGACCACUCCUGCAUCACUUCCUCCUUGGACCCAAUGUGGUGGACCAUUUUAAGUAGUCCAUUUC
ensembl:lncRNA